rnacentral:rRNA from 1 species
CCCUUAGAUGUUCGGGGCCGCACGCGCGCUACACUGAAGGAAUCAGCACGUCUUUCUCCUUGUCCGAAAGGACUGGGUAACCCGCUGAACCUCCUUCGUGCUAGGGAUUGGGGCUUGUAAUUCUUCCCCAUGAACGAGGAAUUCCCAGUAAGCGCGAGCCAUAAGCUCGCGUUGAUUACGUCCCUGCCCUUUGUACACACCGCCCGUCGCUACUACCGAUUGGAUGGUUUAGUGAGAUCCUCGGAUUGGUCCCGGCGCGGCCUCUGGUCGUGCCGGAGUGCCGAAAAGAAUGUCGAACUUGAUCAUCUAGAGGAAGUAAAAGUCGUAACA